UUUUUUUUGUAUUUUGUUUUUUAAAUUGAUGAACUGUAAAACUCUC
rnacentral:sRNA from 1 species